UCCUACUCUAACAAGGCUGCAACUGCAAAUAGUGCCACUCCCCAGAACAAGCAUAUUCAAAGCACCAUAUUCGCCAUGGGAUAAAAAUAACAGAUGUGAAGGUUGUCAGACCAAAAUGAAGUCAUUUAUACCAGACUAUGGCUUGAUGGAACCUCAAGGUCAAGAAGAGAGGUCGUAGCCAAGUGUCGAGAAUCCCACCUUUCCCGUCCGUCUCCCUGUCUUCACACUCACCUCUUCUAAAUCUAUUUCAUAUGCUGUAACUGGUUACAGACCCCAGUCACUGAGGGACGGUGUCUGAGGAGGUGAUGGUGGGUGUGGCCAUCCACACUCUGACUGGAAUAGGGAUCCUGGGAAUCCUUCCAUUGGCCUCCUUCACACAGACCCUCUUUUUAGAAGACAAGGAUUAAGGCCAUCAGAGAAAAUAACCAACCAUCUUGUGUUAGACAUCCUUUAGAUUCCUUGAGCAGGAAUUCUUCAGAGCAUGGAGACAUUUGGACUUCAGAAUUCCAUGGCCAAUGUCGGAUGCAAGCUUAUCUUCUGUUUUCUCCCAGAAUUGUCCACAAACACAUCUCCAUCCCUGUACCGAUAUCAGCAAGGAGAAAGAAUGGAGGAGUCGAACAGAAGGAGGAACAAAGUGAAGACAGCUGGGGGAGGGAGAGGAGGAGAUGAUCAAAGGUUCCCUAACCCUAGUAAUGGAGAAAGGGGGGAGAAGGGGGAUGAGCACGGUUUUGGUGAUUUUUGUUUUACCAAGAACGAGACAACCCUGCCGUAAAGUUCCUUUGUAAAUUCAAUGACAAAUCAUGGAAAAAUGAAGACAAAUGAAAAAACAGCAAACAAGGUAGCUCUGCCAGAUAUUAAAACAACAGAAACUGGGCAGUGAGAUGGCUCAGCAAAUAAAGGUGCUUGCAGCCAA
rnacentral:sRNA from 1 species